rnacentral:misc_RNA from 1 species
ACCUACUGUUUAAUUUUGAGGGUUCGUUUUUACGAAUACUCAAAAUUAGCACUUUAAGCAACGGGAUUUAUCCGUUGGCGCUGUGCGUUAGCACUUUGAAAACUGCAUAUAUAUUUAGUGAUAUGACAUCUAAUUUGUAAUAUAUAAAGCUGAUAACUUUUUAAAAUUAUCGAAGUUGAUAGCUUCUAAUCUAUCAAACCUUUUUAACUGGUCAA